rnacentral:rRNA from 1 species
AACGAACGCUGGCGGCAUGCCUAACACAAGCAAGUCGAACGAGAUCUUCGGGUCUAGUGGCGAACGGGUGCGUAACGCGUGGGAAUCUGCCCUUUGGUUCGGAAUAACAGUUGGAAACGACUGCUAAUACCGGAUGAUGACGAAAGUCCAAAGAUUUAUCGCCAGAGGAUGAGCCCGCGUAGGAUUAGCUAGUUGGUGUGGUAAAGGCGCACCAAGGCGACGAUCCUUAGCUGGUCUGAGAGGAUGAUCAGCCACACUGGGACUGAGACACGGCCCAGACUCCUACGGGAGGCAGCAGUGGGGAAUAUUGGACAAUGGGCGAAAGCCUGAUCCAGCAAUGCCGCGUGAGUGAUGAAGGCCUUAGGGUUGUAAAGCUCUUUUACCCGGGAUGAUAAUGACAGUACCGGGAGAAUAAGCUCCGGCUAACUCCGUGCCAGCCGCCGCAGUAA